UACGAAGGGGGCUAGCGUUGCUCGGAAUCACUGGGCGUAAAGCGCACGUAGGCGGAUCGUUAAGUCAGGGGUGAAAUCCUGGAGCUCAACUCCAGAACUGCCUUUGAUACUGGCGACCUUGAGUUCGGGAGAGGUGAGUGGAACUGCGAGUGUAGAGGUGAAAUUCGUAGAUAUUCGCAAGAACACCGGUGGCGAAGGCGGGUCUCUGGGCAAUUCCUGACGCUGAGGCGCGAAAGCGUGGGGAGCAAACGGG
rnacentral:rRNA from 1 species